rnacentral:rRNA from 1 species
AUUGAACGCUGGCGGCAGGCCUAACACAUGCAAGUCGAGCGGAUGAAGGGAGCUUGCUCCUGGAUUCAGCGGCGGACGGGUGAGUAAUGCCUAGGAAUCUGCCUGGUAGUGGGGGAUAACGUCCGGAAACGGGCGCUAAUACCGCAUACGUCCUGAGGGAGAAAGUGGGGGAUCUUCGGACCUCACGCUAUCAGAUGAGCCUAGGUCGGAUUAGCUAGUUGGUGGGGUAAAGGCCUACCAAGGCGACGAUCCGUAACUGGUCUGAGAGGAUGAUCAGUCAACCUGGGAACGAGAAACGGGCCCGACUCCCAAGGGGGGGACGAGGGGGGAAAUUUGGAAAAAGGGGGAAAAGCCUGUCCCGCCCAGGCGGGGGUGGGAAAGAGGGUCUUGGGUUGUAAAAGCCCUUUAAGUGGGAAGAAAGGGCAGUAAGUAAAACCCUUGGUGUUUGAAGGUUCCCAAAGAAAAAAGCCCGGGUAAAUUUGGG